UCGUAACAAGGUCUCCGUUGGUGAACCAGCGGAGGGAUCAUUACAGAGUAUUAAAACACUCCUGUAUAAACCAUUUGUGAACCUAUACCUUACGUUGCCUCGGCGGUCUUACCCUGCAGCUUACCCUGUAGCGGGCGGACCGCCGAUGGAAAACCAAACUAUUUGUAUUAUUAUCAUCUGAGAGUCUUAUGAAAAUAAGUCAAAACCUUUAACAACGGAUCUCUUGGUUCUGGCAUCGAUGAAGAACGCAGCGAAAUGCGAUAAGUAAUGUGAAUUGCAGAAUUCAGUGAAUCAUCGAAUCUUUGAACGCACAUUGCGCCCCCCAGCAUUCUGGAGGGCAUGCCUGUUCGAGCGUCAUUAGUACCACUCAAGACCUAGUCUUGGCGUUGGGAGACUACCCGGGAGCUACCCUGUAGCUGUUACCCUGUAGCUCCUCAAAUUCACCGGCGGAGUGACGGUUCUACCUCUGAGCGCAGUAAUAUACCUCUCGCUUCUGUAGGUGCCGUGGCCCUCGCCGCUAAACCCCCAACUUUUUUACUGGGUUGACCUCGGAUCAGGUAGGAAUACCCGCUGAACUUAAGCAUAUCA
rnacentral:rRNA from 1 species